CCAGACUCCUACGGGAGGCAGCAGUGGGGAAUAUUGCACAAUGGGGGAAACCCUGAUGCAGCGACGCCGCGUGAAGGACGAAGUAUUUCGGUACGUAAACUUCUAUCAGCAGGGAAGAAAAUGACGGUACCUGACCAAGAAGCCCCGGCUAACUACGUGCCAGCAGCCGCGGUAAUACGUAGGGGGCAAGCGUUAUCCGGAUUUACUGGGUGUAAAGGGAGCGUAGACGGCCGUGCAAGUCUGAUGUGAAAACCCGGGGCUCAACCCCGGGACUGCAUUGGAAACUGCAUGGCUGGAGUGUCGGAGAGGCAAGUGGAAUUCCUAGUGUAGCGGUGAAAUGCGUAGAUAUUAGGAGGAACACCAGUGGCGAAGGCGGCUUGCUGGACGACGACUGACGUUGAGGCUCGAAAGCGUGGGGAGCAAACAGGAUUAGAUACCCUGGUA
rnacentral:rRNA from 1 species